GCGGGGAUAGCUCAGUUGGGACAGCGUCAGACUGAAGAUCGCGUGUUCGAUCCUCUCUCACCGCA
rfam:Picea glauca, whole genome shotgun sequence.